CCUACGGGGGGCAGCAGUGGGGAAUAUUGGACAAUGGGGGGAACCCUGAUCCAGCAAUGCCGCGUGUGUGAAGAAGGCCUUCGGGUUGUAAAGCACUUUCAGUAGGGAGGAAAGGUGCGUAGUUAAUACCUGCGCAAUUGACGUUACCUACAGAAGAAGCACCGGCUAACUCCGUGCCAGCAGCCGCGGUAAUACGGAGGGUGCGAGCGUUAUUCGGAAUUACUGGGCGUAAAGCGCACGCAGGCGGUUGCCCAAGUCAGAUGUGAAAGCCCCGGGCUUAACCUGGGAACUGCAUUUGAAACUGGGCGACUAGAGUAUGAAAGAGGAAAGCGGAAUUUCCAGUGUAGCAGUGAAAUGCGUAGAUAUUGGAAGGAACACCGAUGGCGAAGGCAGCUUUCUGGGUCGAUACUGACGCUCAUGUGCGAAAGCGUGGGGAGCAAACAGGAUUAGAUACCCCGGUAGUC
rnacentral:rRNA from 1 species